rnacentral:rRNA from 1 species
AUGAUGUGUCACCUGUUGUGGCUUACUUAUACUCCUAUUUCUUUUCCUGCACGAACUCUGUUUUUCCUAUUUACCUAUUGGUAUGCAGAGGAACUGCAGAAGCGCGCCUCAGUUACUUCACUGGCGAUUGUUUCACCUCACCAAGGCAGUGAUGAUGUCUGUUGGCAAUGCGCUGAACUUCCUUGUGGUACUUCUUUCUUUUCUUUCUGUGAGCUCCUUUAUACUGUUAACCCUAAAUAUGCAUCGAAAGUGUGGAGCUGCAUCCAUUCUAGAUGUGCCUGUUAUUGUAGACGAAACUGGUGA